UUUCCGUAGGUGAACCUGCGGAAGGAUCAUUAUUGAAAUAAACCUGAUGGGUUGUUGCUGGUUCUCUAGAGAGCAUUGUGCACGCCUUGUCAUCUUUAUAUCUCCACCUGUGCACUUUUUGUAGACCUUUCAGGUCUAUGUUGCUUCAUUUACCCCAAUGUAUGUUAAUAGAAUGUUGUGCCUAUAUAAUAUAUACAACUUUCAGCAACGGAUCUCUUGGCUCUC
rnacentral:misc_RNA from 1 species